rnacentral:lncRNA from 1 species
AAAAAAAAUCAGAAUUGUCCCAGGAGAACACCGAGUCCAAAGUCAGGAGCUUCCAAAGCAGCACAUAAGCAAGAAAGCUAGGCAAAGGUCAGGGGUCCCAGUGUGGGGUCAGGACGAAAAAGGACAGACAUAGGGUACCCUCCCUGCCAGAGACCAUCUACAGCCAGCCCCAAGGAGAGCAACGGCAAAAACGUGGGACCAAGCUACAGGGAGACACAGCUCAGAAGAUGAAAAAAAACUCUGGUUUUGCUCAAGGUCCACAAGCAAACAUUCUCUAUUUCAGUGUUAAAGGUCUUCUUAAAACUAAGGAGCAUGCCUUAGUUCUUUUAGUAAGUGCCAAAUGCUAUAACGCCUUUGAUUCAUUAUUCGGAGCAGACAUCUAUUUAUUCAGCAAGCACCCACCUACGUUGUUCUUGGGACUUUGCUAGGCAUCAGGGUCGCUGUAAGGAAAAGAGGAUGGAGACACAGAAGUGGAACAGCAACAGACAGAACUGGCUUGGAAUGUGACUUUCAUAUCCCUGCCCCCCAGUACAGAGUUGUAUAUUUCUGUUGUGGGUCCUUCUAGUUGUGGCACAUGGGAUGCCACCUCAGCAUGGCUCAACGAGCAGCACUAGAUCUGCACCCAGGAUCUGAACCAGUGAAACCCCAGGCCAUGGAAGCAGAGCGCGUGAACUCAACCACUUGGCCAAGGGGCCAGCCCCAACAUCUAUAUUAAUAUGUAAUAUUCAGCCCAGGAUGGUAUCUUGUGAAACAGAGCUCUUUUCUGUCUUGUUCACUAUUAUUCGUAUAGUGCCCAGACUAUAAGCAUUCAGAAAAUAUUUGUUGAAUGAGUGAAUUAAUGAGAAAAUGAUUGUCAGUUGCCUAGCCAUCCAGACAAAACAUUUUGUCUAUAGAAAAUCUGACCAGUCCACAUUCGAUGUCUCAAGAUCUCCCAACAUAAAGACUCCUAGGUAAUUAUGGAACCGAAAAAGUACUGUUGGUCACAGUACUGAUUUGGGUUCAAGACAGUGGUUUCAAAGUAGCAUAUAUCAGAAUUACCUGGAGGACCGAUUAACUGCAGGUUGCUGGGUCCCAGCCCUAGAGUCUCUGUUCAGUAGGUCUAAGUGCGGCCUGAGAAUCUGCAUGUCUAAUGAGUAUCUAAGUGAAGCUGAUGCUGCUGGUCCAGAGACCACAUUCUGAGAACCAUGAAUUAAGAGACUCAGACUACUUAGUAAGAAUAGCCUUUUAUUUAGUUGACUGAUAUAUUUCCUGCCAAAAUCAUGUUUAUAAAUGGUAGAUUUCUUACACAUGUCACACAAUCUUAUCAGUUCUCUGGAAUUCACAUUGUCUCUAUUAUGCCAUAUGGUACCCAGCAGAAAAGCUUUCUACUUCAGCACAUGCGUGUGGUGAUGGAUUGUAAUUAGUCUUUGGGUGGUGAACAUGAUGUAAUCUACACAGAAAUCGAAAUAUAUAACAAUGUAC